UAGGUGCGAUAUUCUUCUUCUGAUGGAUGUGAACGAGUGGAUAAGUUAUGAAUGUUUUAGUACUCCAAACAUUCGUAACUCAUCUACUCGUUCACAUGCAUCAGAAGGAGAAAAUCGCACU